GUGAAUACAAACGCCUGAGUGUCUCUGCCCUAGGCAAGCCUCUCGCACCCUUCACAUCCAUAACACCUGUGCACCGUAAGACGAAAGGCCCUCCUCGGAGGGAGCCCUGCGUCUGACCUUUUUCACAAACAAGUCAUAUGUAACGAAUGUAGUCUUAUUAUAACCUAAUA
rnacentral:misc_RNA from 1 species